AAUUUAUGUAACCAGCUUUUUCUGUUUAGUAUACUUGUAUUAUCUAUACAGACGCUCGAGGCGCAUGCGCGCCGUCGGCGUCGGCGAUGUUGUGCUGUCUCGCUGACGUAGGAUGCGCGGCUCGCGUGCUGCGAGCUAUAGAGCACCAGAGACGCACAGUGCGUUCGGCUGCACAAACAACGAAGCGAAGUUGACGUGCACCGUCAACGGCUACGCUCAACCACCUCGGUGGUGGAGCAAGAGCAGCAGUCCAACUUCCGCUGCUGCCAUGAGCGUCGUGCGCACAUUAGCGUUUUCGGCGUUCCUGCUGAGCUGCUGUGUGUAUGCUCUGGUGCGAGCAGUGAAGGCCAAGCUAACGUUAUCUAUUAUUUUGCUGGCCGCAGAUUUAUGCUGACGGUUCUCCCUCGGCCUCAUCUCCCGCAGCAUCGCGAUGCGACGCCUGCAACGCCGUGCACUAGCUGGCCGAGCCCGUCCUGACGCCAGCGUUGCGAGAUGCCUGGUGGCUGUCGGGGCGCUGUUCCUCCGCGCCAACGGGACGGUGGUCUGAUGAUGAUGACGCAGAUAAGGCAGUUCGCACGUUAAACCAAGAAGACCACUCUCUCAAGGACUCUCUCAAGGACUGACGCUACGAGACAGAUUCACAAUCUAGUACGCACACUUUCCUUAGCUGAAUGGAAUACCGCACAUGUACAGCGCACCACAAUGCACAGACGAAACUCUUCGUUACAACUCGUACCUCCGGCUGGACUGCACCGACGCGAAGCGUCUAUACUCUGUCGGUUGGGGUUAGGAGUGGCCUUCACGAAAGCUUAUUAUGCACUAAUUGGAAAGACUGACAGUCCUGAAUGUGAUGUCGGCGGAUUCGAGGAGAACAAUAGCUACUUAUUGUGCCGCGGUACCCAGUUUGAAGCACAAAGGCAAUCUAUGUCCAACGCAUUCAGGAAACUAGAUGAUCGUCCUCUGAGUGAACAUACAAUACUAGAACGGCGUCCCCACCGGUUAUCGGCUCAGAAGGCAGUGGAGGCACUUUUGUGCUUUCUGAGAACGUCUGGUUUGUACGAGCGCCUUUAACUUAGUAGUACUGGGAGUACUACCGUUCACGUCUCUCUCUCUUUCUCUCCCUCUCUCUCUCUCUCUCUCUCUCUCUCUCUCUCUCUCGUGGCGGUGGUGAAGCUACAGAUAAAGUUAUCCUGGCAGAAGGCCGGCAAUCGCUCCUCUUGAGCUUCUCUUUCGGUGUCAUGAAUAUCCGUCUACUAUAUUCAGCCAGUCCAGUCUCUCGCAUGAAUGUGCGUAACAUGCGCUACCCUUCCUUGCGCACUAUCUGCGCUCCUUUCGAGAAAACUAACGGUUCUGCAUGUGGAGAGAAGAUUCUCUUUUUCCUCACCUUCUAGAGAGAAAUAAAAUAAACACUUCACUUA